GCGUUUGUGGUUUAGUGGUAAAAUUCGUCGUUGCCAUUCAAUAAUGAUAUCGACGAGCCCCGGGUUCAAUUCCCGGCGGACGCA
rnacentral:tRNA from 1 species